CUCCUUCUCUCUGGGGUUGACCAUCUGGGAUUCAUCUGCACGAUCGUUGCAUUGACUGAAUCCCAUCCGUGGGAAAUGAAAUGUUGUACCAGUCUCCCCAACGUACUGUAUCCCACAGGUGGAGCAGGAGAUAACAUAAAUGCAGUUUUGAGAGUGGGGGCUCCCCCUGCAUAGAGACGGAAACACAUUUUUGUUGUGGUGGCUGCAAAUCCAAUCCAAAUGUUUGAAAAAAGAGGCUGGCAGAAAUCUGUGCUCCUCGAGCAGCCCCUGGCUCUGAACAAGAUCCCGGAAGUUCCUCCUGAGGACUCUCACCAUCCUGCACGUGGCUGCCGAAUGUGUUGUGACAAUGGGUAAAAGGGGGGCUGUAUC